rnacentral:rRNA from 1 species
GGUNGCUNCCUUCCCACGCUUUCGUCCCUCAGCGUCAGUUAAAUCUUAGUGACCUGCCUUCGCAAUUGGUGUUCUAAGUAAUAUCUAUGCAUUUCACCGCUACACUACUUAUUCCAGCCACUUCAAAUUUACUCAAGACCUGCAGUAUCAAUGGCAGUUUCACAGUUAAGCUGUGAGAUUUCACCACUGACUUACAGAUCCGCCUACGGACCCUUUAAACCCAAUAAAUCCGGAUAACGCUUGCACCCUCCGUAUUACCGCGGCUGCUGGCACGGAGUUAGCCGGUGCUUAUUCGUACAGUACCUUCAGCUUCCCACACGUGGAAAGGUUUAUCCCUGUACAAAAGAAGUUUACAACCCAUAGGGCCGUCGUCCUUCACGCGGGAUGGCUGGAUCAGGCUCUCACCCAUUGUCCAAUAUUCCUCACUGCUGCCUCCCGUAGGAGUCUGGUCCGUGUCUCAGUACCAGUGUGGGGGAUCACCCUCUCAGGCCCCCUAAAGAUCAUUGACUUGGUGAGCCGUUACCUCACCAACUAUCUAAUCUUGCGCGUGCCCAUCUCUAUCCGCCGGAGCUUUCAAUGUCGAAUGAUGCCAUUCAACAUAUUAUGGGGUAUUAAUCUUCCUUUCGAAAGGCUAUCCCCCAGAUAAAGGCAGGUUGCACACGUGUUCCGCACCCGUGCGCCGCUCUCAAUUGCCCGAAAGCAAUCUACCGCUCGGCUUNAUGUGUUAGGCCUCCCGCUAGCGUUCAUCCUGAGCCANGAUAAA